CCUACGGGUGGCAGCAGUGAGGAAUAUUGGUCAAUGGACGAGAGUCUGAACCAGUCAAGUAGCGUGAAGGAUGACUGCCCUCUGGGUUGUACACUUCUUUUAUAUGGGAAUAAAAUGUUCCACGUGUGGGAUUUUGUAUGUACCAUAUGAAUAAGGAUCGGCUAACUCCGUACCAGCGGCAGCGGUAAUACGGAGGAUCCUAGAGUUAUCCGGAUUUAUUGGGUUUAAAGGGGGCGAAGGUGGAUUGUUAAGGCAGUUGUGAAAGUUUGCGGCUCAACAGUAAAAUUGCAGUUGAAACUGGCAGUCUUGAGUACAGUAGAGGUGGGCGGAAGUCGUGGUGUAGCGGUGAAAUGCUUAGAUAUCACGAAGAACUCCGGUUGCGAAGGCAGCCCACUGGACUGCAACUGACACUGAGGCUCGAAAGUGUGGGCAUCAAACAGGAUUAGAUACCCGAGUAGUC
rnacentral:rRNA from 1 species